ACCAACUCAGAUGGAAGGAAUUAUACUGGAACCGACUCUAAGCAGUUUUCCCUACAUGUGCAGUACCUUCCCGUUGUGCAAAAAUUUCAAAUAGAUACAUUUGACGGCAUUUCCAACGUAACCGUACAGGAAAACGACACCGUCAUAUUUGACUGUGUCGGAAAAGGUUUUCCCCCGCCAGAUCUUAAACUCAUGAAUAAUAAUUUACAACUUAACGAAAUCGUUGGUGAAAGCGCACAAAACACGACCACUGGUAUUCAGCAUGUAAUAACGCGUGCUAGAUGCAGUCGAUUAGAAAAAUACACCUGUACGGCGUCUAAUGCCAUUGGAUUUGGUGGAAGGGAUCUUUACCUGAGUGUCUUGUGUCCGGUUCGAAAAGAUCUUAAAAGAACAGCAGCUGAUAUAAACAAUAUAGCUUUACGUAAUUUGGGCGAAGAAGUGACGUUUGCCUUUUUCGGAUUCGCUAAUCCACUACCAAACAUUUC